rnacentral:rRNA from 1 species
UGCAGUCGAGCGGUAACAUUUCAAAAGCUUGCUUUUGAAGAUGACGAGCGGCGGACGGGUGAGUAAUGCCUGGGAAUUUGCCCAUUUGUGGGGGAUAACAGUUGGAAACGACUGCUAAUACCGCAUACGCCCUACGGGGGAAAGCAGGGGACCUUCGGGCCUUGCGCUGAUGGAUAAGCCCAGGUGGGAUUAGCUAGUAGGUGAGGUAAAGGCUCACCUAGGCGACGAUCCCUAGCUGGUCUGAGAGGAUGAUCAGCCACACUGGGACUGAGACACGGCCCAGACUCCUACGGGAGGCAGCAGUGGGGAAUAUUGCACAAUGGGGGAAACCCUGAUGCAGCCAUGCCGCGUGUGUGAAGAAGGCCUUCGGGUUGUAAAGCACUUUCAGCGAGGAGGAAAGGGUGUAAGUUAAUACCUUACAUCUGUGACGUUACUCGCAGAAGAAGCACCGGCUAACUCCGUGCCAGCAGCCGCGGUAAUACGGAGGGUGCGAGCGUUAAUCGGAAUUACUGGGCGUAAAGCGUGCGCAGGCGGUUUGUUAAGCGAGAUGUGAAAGCCCCGGGCUCAACCUGGGAACCGCAUUUCGAACUGGCAAACUAGAGUCCUGUAGA